GGAAAUGCCUGUGUGCGCAUAGCUGCCCGCCCCUCGAGUGCGAGUAAGGGUGUGUUGGCUCUGCGUUUCCGCCUCCUUCUUGCUCUCUCGUCGCAUCCCCAGAGCAGGCGGGCCCCGGAGUCGCUUCGCUGCCGAGGUGGAGGCUCAAGGACCGUGUCCUUUGUCCGAGCAUCGCUGCGGUGCCCGGCCGCGCGGAAAAAUUAUCCUACACUUAUCAGCAUUCUUCUCAAGCUUUUUAUCCACCUCUAAGAUCUACAACAACUUGAUGCAGUAAGAAGUCAACGAGCUCUUAGUGAUCCAGUAAAACUGUUGCUUGAGUGAAGAGCCUGGAAAAUUUGAGUGCUGAGAAUGAGCAGACGAAGACAGAAGCAUAGUUCAGAGGCUGAAUAAAGGAUUCUCAGAGGUACAACCACAGCCAAGAGGAGGCAGUUUGAAAACUAUACCUUUUGGUUUACUGCCUAGGGGUGGCAAAGCUACCCCUAUGAAAAAGUAUUUCUCCCUUUUCCUAAGAGACCACUAAAACCAUAUAGGAAUGUGUAUGUGUAUUCAUUAAACAGUGAAAUUGAGAUUUUUCAUUCAUUUUCAUCAUUGAAAUAAAAUCAAUUCACAGUAAGACUAUAUUUAAAGAGAUACAUAAAUGUUAUGUGAAAUAUCUUUGAAGAUAAUCAGUGUGAUUGUUGUUAUUGAAUGAGAACUCACUAAUUUUUCUGUCCUUGGAGUUAAAGAUGUAACUACAAAAGCAGGACCAAACACCAACCAAUUUCUAAGCUUUGAUUUUCUUACUGUCCCGGUGAAAAUGCUGCUUUGCAAUGUAGUUGAAAAGGGAGUAAAGUUUGUAUUGUCUUUUUGGAGAUAUAAAUAGGCUGUCUUCACUUUUAUCCCAAAAUGAAUUCCAAGCAUCAAAAUAAGUUAUUAUUAAAUCUUCAAUCUGAAGACAGUUCUGCCAGAUUUUCUUCUUCAGUGACCCUGAGGUGGUUGGUUGGGUCAUAUACAAAUGAAAUCAUGUUUUGGUAAUUUACAAAUGUAUCCAAUUCAAAUUUUUCCCAAUACCAGUCACCUGAUGGACAAUAAUUAUUGCAUAUGCAAGAAAACAUUACUAAAGUCCACAAAUAAUACUUGGGAUGUUUCUCAUUUUCCAAGUCUGAUUCAUUUAAGAAUUCAGAAAAUGAAGGUAACAUUUCAUAAAUAACUUGUCAAUACUGCCAUUUUUUUUAACCUUUUCCUAAAUGUCAGUUUGAUGGCAAGCUUAGGGUCAUAAUACCUUUUGAGACUUAAAUUUAAUUCAUGUAUAAGUGAAGAUACCAUUUACAAAUAUUCUUCCUACUGAAAACAUUUAACCAAAUUAAAACUUCUAAUUUUAAAAUAUUUCAAUUUCAAAGGGAAAUUCAACUACAGUAUGAAGUGGUAAAUCUGUAUGCUUAAACGUCAUCUUUCACAAAUUUAAUGUAUUGCUCUUAACAAAAUUUACAAUUUGGCCACAUUGUGUAAGAACUUCAUUUAACCAUGGAAACCUGUUUCCUGCUUUGUGUUCAUGGUGAAUAAAACAAUGUAUAAAUCUGA